UAAUUGAAGAGUUUGAUCAUGGCUCAGAUUGAACGCUGGCGGCAGGCCUAACACAUGCAAGUCGGGCGGUAACAGGGGGAAGCUUGCUUCUCUGCUGACGAGCGGCGGACGGGUGAGUAAUGUAUGGGGAUCUGCCUGAUGGCGGGGGAUAACUACUGGAAACGGUAGCUAAUACCGCAUAAUGUCUUCGGACCAAAGCGGGGGACCUCCGGGCCUCGCGCCAUCAGAUGAGCCCAUAUGGGAUUAGCUAGUAGGU
rnacentral:rRNA from 1 species